ACCUAUCUAAUGCAAGUGAAGCAGUCGUGGCCUGCCUCUUGAGAUGAUGUUACAACGUUUUCAGGGAUAUUACAGUGUGUUAUAAAUCUUAUAUGUUUCAAAACUGUUUGUCAGGUAUAGAGCUCCCAUUUAUUUUUAACUGUCUCUCAUACAGUUUGUCUCUGCUUUUGUUCUUCUCACAUUCACUCAAUCUGUGGCUUCUGACAUCACCUAAAUCACCCCAGCCAGAAAGUACAAGAAGAGGUUGGGGAUCAGAUUCAGGCAUCUCUCAUUUCUGCCAGGUCUGUCCCAAAAGUCUGGGGAGUCUUUGAUCCCCAGUCAGUCAGUCAGCAUUGUUUGCUUGUGGUUCCUGCACGCCUAGUCCAACACCGGAGUGUGACGUGCAGAUACGAUUGAGGUGAGGCCAUUCACUCUUGGCUUGACUUAAUGGAUGUUGUCUUCCUCUUCUUUUCUUCUUUGUCAGGAAUCAUAUUAAAGCUCUGUAGCGUUGAUUCCUUUUCAGACUGAGCCUUAUGAGGGUGGAGAGUGAUAGGACAAGGGGGAAUGGUUUUAAACUAGGACAGGGGAGGUUUAGGUUAGAUGUUAGGAGGAAGUUUUUCACACAGACGGUGGUGACGCACUGGAACAGGUUGCCCAAGGAGGCUGUGGAUGCCCCAUCCCUGGAGGCAUUCGAGGCCAGGCUGGAUGUGGCUCUGGGCAGCCUGGUCUGCUGGUUGGCGACCCUGCACAUAGCAGGGGGGUUGAAACUCGAUGAUCAUUGUGGUCCUUUUCAACCCAGGCCAUUCUGUGAUUCUAUGAAUCAGUCUUAUCAUUGUGGGAAGCUAUGUUAGUGCAGGAACAAAAUUCUCUGAGAUGCCCUUGGCUCCUAGCAGGUUUCCCUUACAGAACCUGCCCCUCACUUGCACUGUGACUUCCAUAACUCGUCUCAGCUCAGCACCACAAGACAAAUUUUGGACAUUCACAGUCAGCUGAGAGAAUAAGCAAAACACAAAGUAAUUGUG
ensembl:lncRNA